rnacentral:hammerhead_ribozyme from 1 species
AUGCAGCUGAUGAGUCCCAAAUAGGACGAAAUGUGCAUCCUGGAU